CUUUCUCUCGACUAAAUAACCACGCGCUCUUAUGUCAGAAUCGAACACAAAGGCUUGCACGCAAGGUCCCUGUUUGAAAAAUGUCGCACGUCGUACAAGCUGUCGCGCGGUUUUGAUUUUACCGUUUCGAUAUUGAUUAGCCGAAAGGACGACAAACGUACGACAAACACUCGACAUGCCCGACAUUGUUUUUUCCAUCGAUUUUCCUUCAAUUCGACGUCACGAUUUUCGUCGACGCAAACAGUUUGACAGUUCUUCUCAGUUGAUCUUGUUCGGACUUGAUUGCAACCGAAUCGAACCAGCUGUCCUUCCUUUUGGGAUUUGGUUUAGGGGCUUCGAAGAUUUUGGUCGAUUUUCGACGGAUAAUAGUGUCUUGUAUUUCAGAUUUCGGUCUUCGUGGCGGUGGAGGAGGAUGAGAAGGAGGACGGGACGGGAAGGAACCGGUUUGCGAUCGAGGAAGCGGUUGGUGUUUGGUGUUUUACUUUCCACGGGAGGUGGCGGCACAUACCUGAUGAAAUUGGGAACAAACACGUACUCCACAAUCCCACGUUAUCUCGUACUCCGGUGGCCAUUAAUCCGUCUGAGAUCCAAGAUUGGCGUCGCAUCCGGGUAAAAUUUUGAUCAGCUCGUCGAGAAGCAAAAGUCCAACACCAACAUCAAAGCCGGAAGCUGCGGUCAAGGCAAAUACGAGACCAUCUGAAGAAAGCCAAGUUGGAUAAGAAUCGGCGAUCCGGAAGUUAAAUUUAGUGAAAAAGUAAAUAUUAUAGUGAAAUUUGGUGUGUUUCGAUAAAUAAUUAAAUAAAAAAACAAAACAACAGUUUUUUCAACAGCAACAUACCCUAAAAAUCCGAAAUGACAGCACACGACAAUAGCACGACAUCCUAAAUAACAAAACCGUGCGAAUAUUGUGGUUUUUGAAAUAAAUCGAAAUAACAGCGCGAGUGUUUUUCAUCUCGCGAAGCAAUUUUCUGUUGUUUCUUUUCUGAGUGUACAUACCUCAAAUGUCACACGCGAAACCAAAACAAAAUUUCGCCGCGGCACCAAACUGAAAUGUCGCCAGUUGAGCUGCGACAAGACUCGCGCCGCGUCUUACACGAAGCAUGGAAUCCAUCAUGAAAAUCUACCGUAAAUCGUUCUGUGAGCUGGAUUCUGGAUUUGAUCAUACGGAUGGAUCAUUUCAUGAUGUCGAGCAUGGAGAAGACAAUUACGGCGCUUUUGAUUUCCAAAAUGGGGGCUGGGUCUUCCCAUUUUGACUCUAUGGAGCUUAUUCAAUCGACACCUGCAACAUCCCGCAUCAGCAAAACUCUCCCGGUGAGAGGACACAACGGAACGGAUUGAGGUUCCUCGACAAUGAGGCCACUUAUUUU